rnacentral:tRNA from 1 species
GCCUGGGUGGCUCAGUUGGUUCAGCAUCUGACUUCAGCUCAGGUCAUGAUCUCGUCUGUGGGUUCGAGCCCUGCUUUGGGCC